CAGUAGCCACGGUAAUACGUAGGGUGCAAGCGUUAAUCGGAAUUACUGGGCGUAAAGCGUGCGCAGGCGGUUUGUUAAGACAGAUGUGAAGUCCCCGGGCUCAACCUGGGGACUGCAUUUGUGACUGGCAAGCUAGAGCGUGGCAGAGGGGGGUGGAAUUCCGCGUGUAGCAGUGAAAUGCGUAGAUAUGCGGAGGAACACCGAUGGCGAAGGCAGCCCCCUGGGCCAACACUGACGCUCAUGCACGAAAGCGUGGGGAGCAAACAGGAUUAGAUACCCCCGUAGUCCCUGUCUCUUAUAA
rnacentral:rRNA from 1 species